GACGAACCGUGCAAACGUUGUUCGGAAUUACUGGGCGUAAAGCGUAUGCAGGCGGAUCGUUAAGUCGGGGGUGAAAUCCCGAGGCUCAACCUCGGAACUGCCUUCGAUACUGGCGAUCUUGAGUCCGGGAGAGGUGAGUGGAACUCCGAGUGUAGAGGUGAAAUUCGUAGAUAUUCGGAAGAACACCAGUGGCGAAGGCGGCUCACUGGCCCGGUACUGACGCUGAGAUACGAAAGCGUGGGGAGCAAACAGG
rnacentral:rRNA from 1 species